rnacentral:piRNA from 1 species
UAGGAAUAUAGCAUUAAAUAA